AGGGAAACCUGGAUGACACAGAAACUACAUAACAUUCUAACCUAAAAAAAAAGGGCAUCAGUCUGUCAGUAAUCCAGCCCUUAUUGCAGGCAAACCCACCUCCAAAAAUAGAUCAAGCUAUUUACGGAUAUUAGAAUAAUUACAAUAAACGUAACAGUCGUUGUCGGGAUGCAUUUGUUAAUAAGAAAAGAUGUGUUUAAGAUUACCCUCGGCCCUAAUCGGGGGUGUGAAGUACACGGCUUACUAAAAAAUAAAAAGAUUAAUUGAGUUUUGUUGCUCUCCAAUUGGUUUGUAAGAUUAGCGAUUUUUUUAAAAUUUAUUCUUUUAAAUAAAAUUGAUGAAUUCCGUAUCGUGAUGUGAUUUUAUCAGGUGCUUCCCAAACUGAGGGAGCUUCAGUGCAUACGUCAAAUUAAUGGCUAACCGAAGAAAGUUUGCUGCACUGCACAUCGCAAGUUCCUUGAUCUUCAAAAUCUAAACAGAUUUCCAU